rnacentral:tRNA from 1 species
UGGCUCAAUGGUAGAGCACUUGCCUUGCAUGCAUGAAGCCCUGGGUUCGAUUCCUCAG